ensembl:lncRNA
AUUCUUUUCCUGUAUAGGUCAUUACAGAGUACUGAGUAGAGUUCCCUGUGCUAUACAAUGAGAAGAUCUGGCAACCCCUAGCCAAAAUUUGCUCCUGGCCACAGUGAGCUGGAACCCGUAGGGGCUGCUGGCUGCUCCCUUUCAAUGUUCCCUUACAUCCUUCAUUGCAUAAAGAAGAGUUUUUUAACAGGCCUGUUUCACUUCCAAGAAUCCACUCCGUGAUGGAAACGGUGGGGGUUCAGAAGAUCCAAUGCUGGGAGAGACUCCGAGGGAAAUUCAAGGUUUGGUGCUUGGAAAGUCACAGACCUUCACGGCACAGGGAUUGAAAGAUCGUUCCUUGCUUCCAGCUAGAAUGCAAGCUCAAGAGGAAUUUUAUCUUGCUCAUCAGUCUAUCCCAAAACCUAGAAAGGCAUCUGCCCCAAAAGAAGUGCUCAACAAGUGUUUGUAGAAUGAAUAAACAAUUACCUUCAGCUAUCAAUUUGUACUUUUGAGACAGGGUGGGACCUGGGGCCCAUUACUGCAGUGCUUGCACCUGGACGAACGUCUCCUCAAGAAACAAAAUACAAAGAAAACUAUAACGUAUUAAAAUAAUUGCAUGUGUGCCCAUUUGGGAAAAAUUAUGGACAAUAAAUUACUAUGAAAAGACCAAAGACCCUGAGGAGGAGCUGGGAGCAAAAGCAGGGUACUGCAUACUGCACUUGUAUGCUGCACACAGCAGACCACCUAAACCACCCCUCUGACCUGAUCCUGGGCGCACCCCUAUCCUUACUCCAUUUAAGAAACCAGCUCACCCCCUCUUGGAGAGCUAGGAAGCAAAGGAACCUGUUACUUGUUCUUGUUCCCCCCUGCUGCCACAGGGUCCCCAAUAAAGCCUAGCCUAAAUUUCUUGUUUGGCUUCUCAUCAAUUUCUAUUGAUUCUUAAGAGGCCAAGAGGGGCUUCCCUGGUGGCUCAGCAGUAAAGAAUCUGCCUGCAGUGCAGGAGACAUGGGUUCAAAAUGGUAACCCACUCCAGGAUUCUUGCCUGGGAAUCUCCAUGGGUAGAGGAGACUGGUAGACUGCUGUCCAUGGCGUCACAAAGAGUCAGACAUGACUUAACGACCAAACAGCGGAAAUGAGAGGGCAAGAACCCUGGUUGGUAACAGUUUGAUAAGGAUAAUUGGUACUUAAUUUUAUGUAAAGCACAUUGCAAAAUGGAGUUUCAAGACAGUUAUGAAAGCCACACUCACUC